AACACCCCCGGCUCAGAGAUGGGCAGUCAGUUGUUUUUCUUGGAGAAGAAAUCGCCACUGUGUAAUUCAUCCCCCAGAUUCCUUACGAUGAGAGCUGUCACUGGACAGCUAUGUGUUCCAUGACCAGGGAAGAGGCAGGAAAGCAUGGAUGGGGCAGAGCCUGGAAGGGAAGCUUCAGAUGCUUCUUUUGUAAAGAACUGAAGAAAGAGAAGUCUCCAGUGACUGGCCCUGCUUGAAUUUUCAGCAGACUUGACAAUGGAAAAGUUCAAACUCUCUGGCCUCCAGUCAUUUUCUAAAACAAACACUACCAGAGCGAGCCUCGGGGAGUUAAUAAAAGAGGCCUCGUUGGUAUAAAAAGGUUGGAAAUCAUUUGACAAGAAACAAGAAAAAGCUUGUAUAUUUCAUCAGCUCGUUACAUGAGGCCAGAAGCACUUCAUUCCCUUCCUGAGGAGAUGCUGAAAAUAUGUGUUAAUCCUGGGCUUUUCUUCAGAGAACUGCACAGCCUUAGACAGGAGGAGGCUGGUUUAAAAUCAAGCAUACAUCUUGCCUUUUCUGUACAAAGCAUAUCUGAGAGGAAUCGAAGAGCUAAUGAGGGUGUUCUCUUCAUAGAAGUAUUCAGCUGUAUUCCUUGUCCAUGGUUAUACACAUCAUUUCAUAAGAGAACACAAGCUUCAGAUAUUAACAAACCUGGAUUUAAAACCCAGCUCUCCAACUUAUUAUGUACAUGACCUUAGACAAAUGCAUCAUGGAAGACACAUAGCUGCAAACAUCAAAAAUGCCAAUAAAUAGUGGCUUAAAAAACUGGGGGGUUUCUCAUAUAAAAAGAAGUCAGAUACAAUAAUCUCAGAAUGGAGCCAUUCCUUUAAAAAAAUCAUCAAAGAACUGGGUUCCAAUUCAAUUUCUGCUCCUAUCUGUGUAUGUAUAUAUUUGUUCAUUCUCUUUGUGGUAUGAUCACUGCUACUCCUCCAGCCAUUACAUCCACAUCCCAGGUAUGAAGAGCAGGUAGGGAGAAGGCCAGAAAUGAUGUACUAACUAAAUCUGUCUAUUUUUAAUCAGGAAAAUAUUAGCUUAUUUGGAAGCCUCAUCUAGUAGAUAUCUGCUUAUGGAUCUUCAUUGGCAUAUCACAAGGAGAAUAUGGAUAAUAAUCAAUUGACAAAGAAUUGACAUUUCAAGAAAGUAUACAAAUCAAGUAUAUGAAUAUAUUUACUUCAAAUAGAAAUAAAAACUCUAAAAUUUAGAAGUAAUAAAUCCUAUUGAAAUCCAUCGAAUUGUUAAAGUUAAUUAAGAUGUUUUAGUUAUAAAUACAGUUAACAAUAUGUUUAAAUGAGUUAAUAAUGGAAAAGAGAGGAAGGAAGGGAGAAAAAGGAAGGUGAAGGAAAAAAUGAAUGGAUGAAGGGUAAAAGGUAAGUGGAAAAGCUCAUUGAUCACCUGUUGUUUUGAAAAUUUGGUAAGUAGAAGUGAAAGUAAUCAAGCCUUUUCUGUACAAAGCAUAUCUCAGAGUAUUCAGUCUCAAUGAGGGGAUUCUCUUUAAAGCAACAUUCCAGACAAAAGAAGAAUGAAGAAUGGUAAAAUUAGAAACUCACAUCUUCUGAACCCUGAAGAGAUAAUGGAUCUAGACAACAAUUAUGAAUGGCUGCUAACAUCACAGAAAGAAAGUCCAUUAGACACGAUGGAAAAACACAUCAUGAUCUAAAGAUAACGGUAUUCCUGCCAAAAACUCCAACCUGAAUCUAUCAAGCAUCAAGAUCUAACUACCAAUUUACAGGAAAAAGAGGGGCAGGGGAACAUGUGAAAUGAAGCCAUGGGGAGUCAAUCAGCAGAAUCCAGAACACAAGAAAGGUUACAGACCAAAUAGACGGUUUUUCAACAAAUAAAUUACAAGGCAGAAAAAAGACUAGAGAGAGAAGAGAUUUAAAAAGACUUGAGGCAUAUCUAGCAAUCGCAAUGUAUGAAACUGAUUUAAACUACUGACAGAAAAAACUGUUAAAAGAAUAUAAAAUUAUUGGAAAAAUCUGAA